ACGGGAUAACUGUUGGUAGUGAGAUGGGCAAAAUGAGCCAGUAGAUUAGGUGGGAGUGUGGAGACCAUGAGGUGGCCGGAGAGUAUAGGACAAAGGGUGUGUUAACGGAGUACGUAGGUGGCUGCUAAGUCGCAAGACGAUGUAUAGGAGCUGACGCCGGCCCGGUGCGGGAAGGUUAAGGGGAUCUGUUAGGGCAAUCGAAGCAGUGAACUGAAGCCACAGUGAACGGCGGCCGUAGCUAUAGCGCUCCUAAGGUAGCGAAAUUCCUUGUCGGGUAAGUUCCUACCCGCACGAAAGGCGUAACGAUUUGGGCACUGUCUCAACAACAGAUUCGGUGAAAUUGUAAUUCCGGUGAAGAUGCCGGAUACC
rnacentral:rRNA from 1 species